AUCACGGUUAAGAAAUAGGUUUGGUUAACUUGAUUUUGCACGAGCCCUCAAUGAACCCCAGCAGCGAAGGUGGUGGUGGCACUGAAAGCACCACCACCACCUUUGUGCAUAUAAUAAUGAUGCCAAGUAAAACGUUCUGCACUACUCGCUGAUGCUGAAGAAAUUACAAUAUGAGAAAUAUGAGACUGAUGAAAUGUGAAAAACACGUUCAGUUCAAGAAGAUUUUACUCUUGAAUUUGGAACGUACAAAAAAGCAGGAUAUUAUUUCUUAUCAAUUGUCUCCACGAUGCGUUUGAGGACUUUGACUUGUUCUGAAGGUUCGAUGAGUCGGGCGUCGGUGUCAUCCGAAAUGGAUUUGUUCAUGACGAAGAAGAUAAUGAGACGCCCGUUGGUGGGGUUCUUGCCGAUGAUGUCCUUCUCGAGGCGACCUCCUUUCGCCUUGGAGAUUUCCAACACGGACACGAUCACUUUCCCAAUCUCCUAAAAACAUCGGAAACUUGUAUAAAUAUUCCAUAUAUCUAUUAUGCAAGGUUUCCAGUCUCAUCUCACCUCUCGUCCCUGCUUCACGACGAAUCGGAGUUUCUGCAAGAGAAAACAACGUUUUUAUCGUAUCAAUCAACGAUUUUAUGCAUAUUAGAAUUAUUUUCCUACUUGCUGAUGUCCUUCAAAGAAAGUAAUUUGGAAUACAUCAGGCCAUUCCGGGUUAAAACCUUUAAAAUUUCAAGUUUGUUUUGAGAAACAUUUAGUUUAUGGACAAGACAUGACUGAUAUAAUAAGUUGAAAUUUUGCAAUACUUUCUUCAGAUUUCCUCGUCUUGUUGGUAUAAUAAUCUGGAGGCUGAUCCGGACUUCUAAAGUAGGUCACUUCCACUUCCGCUUCUGGUUUCUUGGAAAAUAAAAGCUCGGUUAGCAAUAAGAUUACCUGGCUGAGAGGACAAAGGUGAUUUCCACCCCCUUGUUGCUAUCCCCCGCCGGCACCACCCCUCCUCCCAGCGCUUCAUGAGGCAGUAAGCAGAAGCAGAUGAGCCCCAAAAAAUAUGCUCGAAUAAAUAAUGAUUCGUAUCGUCAACUACAAAAUACUGUCAAUUAAAUAUUUCGUACGAAUAGUUUCAAUCCCGCAAGGCGCAAACUAAUUCAUGGAAGAAAAAAUUAUAUUGUACUUAUGUUCUCGCAUGCAGAAAAGUAGAACAAUAUUCUUCUUUCUGCAUCAUAUUAUGAUGUCAUUGGCAAAGAACAAUGUUAAACGCCAAAGGAAAUAUUUUGAAUGCUUUAGAAUUCAUGGAAUAAUGAAUCGUAAAAAUAAGUAAUUUAAAGGUCAAUUAUAUACAACUGCUCCAUGUUUUAUUCCAUUCAUAAAAAUAUAUUAAUCAUGACUAACUAUGUUUUUUUAAACUACGUAACUUUUCAAUCCUCGUCGUCUUCUGCGGCCUUUUUGUUCUUCUUGUUCUUCUUGCUUUUCCGCGUGUCCUUUGGAUUUUUUUCGAGGUCUAUGACGAUGUCCUUGGCCUUGGAGGUGCUGGCUAGUCGUUCGACCGUUGCGUCGUUGGGCGUCUUGUUGAUAAGCGUGUUGAUGAUGAGGCGACCAUUCUUCUGACUCGGUCCCACCAACUCCACCUCUAACGCGU